ACGCUGGCGGCACGCCUAACACAUGCAAGUCGAACGAAGUAGCAAUACUUAGUGGCAGACGGGUGAGUAACAUGUAGGUAUCUGCCCUUUGGCCUGGAAUAACACGAGGAAACUUGUGCUAAUACCGGAUAAGUCUUUACAGAGAAAGCUUUAUGCACCAUUGGAUGAGCCUGCACUUGAUUAGUUUGUUGGUGGGGUAAUGGCCUACCAAGACUGUGAUCAAUAGCUGAUUUGAGAGGAUGAUCAGCCACAUUGGGACUGAGACACGGCCCAAACUCCUACGGGAGGCAGCAGUGGGGAAUCUUGCACAAUGGAGGAAACUCUGAUGCAGCGAUGCCGCGUGAGUGAAGAAGGCCCUUGGGUUGUAAAGCUCUUUCGUCGGGGAAGAAAAUGACUGUACCCGAAUAAGAAGGUCCGGCUAACUUCGUGCCAGCAGCCGCGGUAAUACGAAGGGACCUAGCGUAGUUCGGAAUUACUGGGCUUAAAGAGUUCGUAGGUGGUUGAAAAAGUUAGUGGUGAAAUCCCAGAGCUUAACUCUGGAACUGCCAUUAAAACUUUUCAGCUAGAGUAUGAUAGAGGAAAGCAGAAUUUCUAGUGUAGAGGUGAAAUUCGUAGAUAUUAGAAAGAAUACCAAUUGCGAAGGCAGCUUUCUGGAUCAUUACUGACACUGAGGAACGAAAGCAUGGGUAGCGAAGAGGAUUAGAUACCCUCGUAGUCCAUGCCGUAAACGAUGUGUGUUAGACGUUGGAAAUUUAUUUUCAGUGUCGCAGGGAAACCGAUAAACACACCGCCUGGGGAGUACGACCGCAAGGUUAAAACUCAAAUGAAUUGACGGGGACCCGCACAAGUAGUGGAGCAUGUGGUUUAAUUCGAAGAUACGCGCAGAACCUUACCAACACUUGACAUGUUCGUCGCGACUUUAAGAGAUUAGAGUUUUCGGUUCGGCCGGACGAAACACAGGUGCUGCAUGGCUGUCGUCAGCUCGUGUCGUGAGAUGUUGGGUUAAGUCCCGCAACGAGCGCAACCCUCACUUUUAGUUGCCAUCAUUAAGUUGGGCACUCUGAAAGAACUGCCAGUGAUAAGCUGGAGGAAGGUGGGGAUGACGUCAAGUCCUCAUGGCCCUUACGUGUUGGGCUACACACGUGCUACAAUGGUAUUUACAACAGGAAGCAAGACUGCGAAGUUAAGCAAAUCCCUAAAAGAUACCUCAGUUCGGAUUGCACUCUGCAACUCGAGUGCAUGAAGCUGGAAUUACUAGUAAUCGUGGAUCAGCGUGCCACGGUGAAUGCGUUCCCGGGUCUUGUACACACCGCC
rnacentral:rRNA from 1 species